GAUAUGAGAAAUCCAUGAAAAGAACUGCCAAAGAAUUUGACAGUAUUGUUGGAGAAUGGUUAGAGGAACAUUACAGGAAGAGAAACACUAACGGAGAGCAAGACUUCAUGGAUAUUUUGCUGUCUGUUCUUGAUGGUGUUGAUCUUGCCUGUUAUGAUGCUGAUACAGUUAGGAAAGCCACAGCCAUGGUAAUUAAAGAUUCAAUACAAAAUUUUCUCACCUACUAUUUAUGAUGAUAAUUCGAACUUGUAUUGUAGACUCUUAUUGCAGGAGGCACCGAUACCACAACCGUAACUGUCACAUGGGGGCUAGCACUAUUGUUGAACCAUCCAAUUGCACUGAAAAAGGCCCAAGAAGAAAUAGAC
rnacentral:lncRNA from 1 species